UACAGAGGUCUCAAGCGUUGUUCGGAUUUACUGGGCGUAAAGGGCGCGUAGGCGGCCACCGCAAGUCAGUUGUGAAAUCUCUGGGCUUAACCCAGAACGGUCAGCUGAUACUGCGGGGCUAGAGUGCAGAAGGGGCAACUGGAAUUCUCGGUGUAGCGGUGAAAUGCGUAGAUAUCGAGAGGAACACCUGCGGCGAAGGCGGGUUGCUGGGCUGACACUGACGCUGACAGCGCGAAAGCUAGGGGAGCGAACAGG
rnacentral:rRNA from 1 species